UCCGCAACAGGAGCAACACAUAAUGCCAACUUGCAGAUUUUGGUGAGUUCAAUGCACAUUGUUGCUUAUGCAUUUCAAUUAGGUACUAGAAAUAGUAACUGAAAUGAUGCAUAUCUAAAAUAUCGUCAGCACUGGGAGUGGCAUCAACACAUAUUUGGAGAGGCCAAGUUGGUCACCUUCCAGCGUUUAUAACCAUUAUGAUAGCUCCGAGCCGACACCAAGUGAAGUCAUGCGACGAAACAUAGGACAUACCAAAAGAAUCCGAUAAAGCAGAUGAGGGAUGGUCGACAAAAGAAAUCUGAAUCAUCAAAUGGAUCAAAUAAUCUGAAGCGUGGGUAGAGUUAUAAUUUCUCCUGAAUUAUUGUUUGUUUUUCCAGUUACAUAAUAUGCAGGUGAUAACACAAUCUACUCUCCUUUGCUACAAAUUCGUCAUGAAAAACAUAGUCGGCUCAAAAUUAUGUUCCUUUUUAUACUUAGUUGGGUUGGAAUGACGGCUGCAUAAGUUGAUGAUUAUUAGAUCCACGUUUGGUAAGGUUGAUGCCAUUUUUCAGUGAUUGAAACAAAAAAUUAUAUGAUAUACCUUGUCAUAAAAUUCGUGAUGUUGCUCGUUAUCUGUCUCUAGCCUUGAGUAUAUUGUAAGUGCAGCUUCUUCGGGUAAAAAAUAUAUAUAUUAUGCAGCCAUCCAUCCCAGUCGUGAGCAGUGAGCAGCCUUAGUACGUUGCUACUCUCUCUGGAGGACUUCCGCAUUUUACUUACUGCCCGAGCUAUUUCAUGUUUUACUUACUGCCUUGACAAUUUCCAGAUACUGCCAUGAAUGAUUUUUCCAGCUGACAGAGUUUUUUUUUAUCCUUGCAGGUUGUGCCAUUUUGUGUUCUGAUUGAUUUGCAGGGAUACACAAGUUAGUUGCUGUGGUGUCUCCUUAUGGCCUGUCUUGUUCUCCAGUUCUGAAAUUUGGAUUGUGAGAUGUAAGCUAAUGUUAUUCACAACAUGUUAAGGCAAUAAAUUGGGCAUGACACUAAAAUUAGUCGUCCAGGUAUCAACUAUGAUCCUUGAUCAUUUAAGCUUAAAUGCUUGCUACACAGUGAGUUAUCCCAGGGAGUUGCUUCCCACUAUUGUUUUUGGUAUGACAUUUAGUAAUAUAUUUCCAGAUUAUGCAAACAUUCUUGUUAUGUAUUACCUUGUUUGCAACGUUUUUUUGGAUUUA